UCUACGGGAGGCUGCAGUGAGGAAUAUUGGUCAAUGGGCGAGAGCCUGAACCAGCGACGCAGCGUGAGGGAUGAAGGUCUUCGGAUCGUAAACCUCUGUCAGCAGGGAAGAACGGUCACUGUGCUAAUCAGCAGUGAAUUGACGGUACCUGCAAAGGAAGCACCGGCUAAAUCCGUGCCAGCAGCCGCGGUAAUACGGAGGGUGCGAGCGUUAAUCGGAAUUACUUGGCGUAAAGCGCUCGUAGGCGGUAUGUCAAGUAAAGUGUGAAAUCCCCGCGCUAAACGUGGGAAUUGCCUUUGAAACUGGCAAACUGGAGUGUGUGAGAGGAUAGUGGAAUUCCAGGUGUAGGAGUGAAAUCCGUAGAUAUCUGGAGGAACAUCAGUGGCGAAGGCGACUAUCUGGCACAUAACUGACGCUGAGGAGCGAAAGCGUGGGUAGCAAACAGGAUUAGAUACCCCAGUAGUC
rnacentral:rRNA from 1 species